GCAGACACAUUCCAGCCAAUCAGCAGCAGACCCUCCCUCCCAGACCCUCCCUCCUCCUGGACAGCAUCCAUUGUGAAGCUGCAUUCUUAGUGAGCUGUAGUGAGGAGGUGGGAGGGUCUGGGAGGGAGGGUCUGCUGCUGAUUGGCUGGAAUGUGUCUG